GAUGAACGCUAGCGGCAGGCUUAACACAUGCAAGUCGAGGGGCAACACGGGUAGCAAUACCUGGUGGCGACCGGCGCAAGGGUGCGUAACGCGUGAGCAACAUGCCCUAUACAGGGGGAUAAUCCAGGGAAACUUGGUCUAAUAUCCCAUAGCAUUUAGAGGUGGCAUCACCAUUAAAUUAAAGCUUCGGUGGUAUAGGAUUGGCUCGCGUGACAUUAGCUAGAUGGUGGGGUAACGGCUCACCAUGGCUAUGAUGUCUAGGGGUUCUGAGAGGAAGACCCCCCACACUGGGACUGAGACACGGCCCAGACUCCUACGGGAGGCAGCAGUGAGGAAUAUUGGACAAUGGAUGGAAAUCUGAUCCAGCCAUGCCGCGUGCAGGAAGACGGCCCUAUGGGUUGUAAACUGCUUUUAUAUGGGAGCAAUAAGGUCUACGAGUAGACCGAUGAGAGUACCAUAUGAAUAAGCAUCGGCUAA
rnacentral:rRNA from 1 species